rnacentral:rRNA from 1 species
GACGAACGCUGGCGGCGUGCCUAAUACAUGCAAGUCGACCUUAGUGGCGAACGGGUGAGUAACACGUGGGUAACCUUCCCAUCAGACGGGUAUAACCCUUGGAAACAGGUGCUCAUACCGGAUACUGAUGGAUGGCCCCGCGGUGCAUGAGCUAGUUGGUGAGGUCAAGGCUAACCCAGGACACGAGGCAUAGACGACCUGAGAGGGUGAUCGGCAACAUUGGGACUGAGACACGGCCCAAACUCCUACGGGAGGAAGCAGUAGGGAAUCUUGGGCAAUGGACGAAAGGCUGACAGAGCAACGCCGAGUGAGUGAAGAAGGUUUUCGGAUCGGAAAACGCGGGUGUUAGAGAAGCGGUAUCUAACCAGAAAGCCACGGCUAACUACGUGCCAGCAGCCGCGGUAAUAC